rnacentral:lncRNA from 1 species
UCCCCAUAAAAAUCUUGUUCCCUUUGAGAUCCCAUCAAUAGUAGACCCUUGAAUCGGGAUCGAGAAAGAAGCCCGUGAGCAAUAAGUUUUUGGUGUUUUGAUAGUGACCCAAUCAUACCUUACAAGAGUUUUUUUCCGUCCUCAGGUUUGACUUUCCUAGUUCACGGUAAUAAUCCAUUUCCUUCAUUUUCUCCUCUUUCUCUGGCAAGUCAUCUUCAAUCAGAAAAAAAGAAAAGAAAAAAAAGAGAGAAAUAUUUGCUAAAUGCGCGUAAUGACCUGCCAACCAACAAACAAAUAGAAAAUUCAAUUAUGGGGAUCUCUUCCAAUUCCC